CGCAGAGCUACGGACUAUCGGCGUUCCUUUUUAGACAGUGCAGAGGAGAAAGGCAUGUGCUUCAGACACUAGAGUCAAAGGCCAGCGCGAUUAUACAGCGAGAAACAGUUCCCACAACAGAACACCGCAAUGAAGAGCCUUUCCUUUUUCUAAAGCCUAAUUCUCUGAAAUCUGGAGCAACAACAAAGAAAGAGGAAAGGGGGAAAAUAUUUGGACUGACAGCAUUCUACUUCUUGAAUUGGGACAGUGGAGUACUCAGGUGAACCUCCACCACCGGCCUUCAAGGAAUGAGUGAUUCUGGAGAGUCAUGUGUUCAUGACAGUUCAAAGAUUAUGUGUCUUACCUUAUUUAAGCCAUUCUGGAUUGAAACAUUUACUUCCGAUUUUAAAAUAAAA